CCAGUUUUGCAGACUCCCGAAUUUUGGAUUAGAUCUCAGUACGAGUCAAACCCUUUUGGUGAUGAACAUCUGCAGGAUGCUGGAACGGACAUACUCAGAAACAGUUCAUAAGGCAAAAAAACUUUAAUUCUACUGGAAGAUGCAACAGCUCACAGGCAUCUCGCACCGUGAUACCAUCCCCAGGUUAAAAGCUAAGGGCUUGUUACACGGUAACCUCUCUAAUAAUAGCCCCUUAAGAAGCCUGACUGACAUGCAUGGAAUAGACAAAGCUCCAGCGAAUUCUGAUGUAUGGUAGGUGGGGCCUCUCAGAAGUGAUGAUAUUCUGCAUUAGCUGAGACUUGGAACCGAACAAAGAACACUCCUGUGUCCAUCUCGUGUCUCUCGCUGUGCUCCUUUUAUUGGCAUGGGCACCAAACAUCCCAGCACCCACCACGAGUGAAUAUGAAAUGCCGAACUAGGCAUACCCCAACUUCUUAUCUGUCCAUCUCCUCUGCCUCUCCACCUUACAGGGUCCAUUCUCCAUUCAGUAGAUACACAGAGUUUUCCUACCCAGAAUUAAAUGCACAGACCAAAAGGAGACCAUGCCCUUAAAGCUUCUGCAUUUAAUGGUAGCUGUUUUCCUCUCCACAUCCAGAGGCAAAGGAUAGCUAUGUGAGUGGUAAAAUAGUCACGGUCCAACCUCCACAAGUAAGCAGCUAGGCACCGAUAAUUACUGUCAAUGGGACCACACCUACAAGGAACCAUUGGCCACCAAAAUCCUACAUAGGAGGCAGAUGGAGACUACAAAGGAGCUGUCUAGCCUUUCUGCACAUGCGGACUCGAAAGCGUGUUCUAUCUUUUUCUUCAAGCCCAUGCAUUUUGCAGCUCUCCUACUCUCCAAAAUCCAUGUAUGCAUAUAAUUCCUAUAAUGUCCUUUUCCAUACUUUAAGAAUCUAGUCUGAAUGCACUCUCUAACUGGGGAUAAACAACUGGUCUAUGUAACCCAUUUGCAGGUUUUUCCAAGCAUACGAUAUGAUAUGCACACUGCCAUUUAACAAACACUGCGUUUGUAUGCAUGUACAAAAUUUCAGAGGGGCGAUGAAAACAACCCCCUUCGAAAAUCUCAUCCUAUAAGAGUUAUAAGAACCUUAAUAUACAAAAAUGCCUGAUAUGCUUUCAAAAUAGAAUUUCAAAUGUUAUCAGUAACUGGAAAUAAGGAUUCUGA
ensembl:lncRNA